rnacentral:rRNA from 1 species
UCCUGGCUUAGGACGAACGACUGGCGGCGUGCCUAAUACAUGCAAGUCGAACGGUCUUUCUAUGGAAGCUUGCUCCACUGAGAAGAUAGUGGCGAACGGGUGAGUAACACGUGGGUAACCUGCCCAUAAGAGGGGGAGUAACAUCCGGAAACGGGUGCUAAUACCGCAUAGUUUUCUUGAUUGCAUGAUUGAGAAAGGAAAGACGGCCUUUGUGCUGUCGCUUAUGGAUGGACCCGCGGCGUAUUAGUUAGUUGGUGAGGUAACGGCUCACCAAGACGAUGAUACGUAGCCGACCUGAGAGGGUGAUCGGCCACAUUGGGACUGAGACACGGCCCAAACUCCUACGGGAGGCAGCAGUAGGGAAUCUUCCGCAAUGGACGAAAGUCUGACGGAGCAACGCCGCGUGAGUGAAAGAAGGUUUUCGGAUCGUAAAACUCUGUUGUCAGAGAAGAACAAGUUGGAGAGUAACUGCUCCAGCCUUGACGGUAUCUGACCAGAAAGCCACGGCUAACUACGUGCCAGCCGCCGC